rnacentral:rRNA from 1 species
UACGGAGGGUGCAAGCGUUAUCCGGAUUCACUGGGUUUAAAGGGAGCGCAGGCGGAUUUGUAAGUCAGUGGUGAAAGGCUUAAGCUUAACUUGGGAACUGCCAUUGAUACUAUAAGUCUUGAAUGUUGUUGAGGUUUGCGGAAUGGGUCAUGUAGCGGUGAAAUGACAUAGAUAUGACCCGGAACACCUAUUGCGAAGGCAGCAGGCUAAACAAAUAUUGACGCUGAGGCUCGAAAGCGUGGGGAUCAAACAGG